rnacentral:rRNA from 1 species
GAAUAUUGGACAAUGGGCGGAAGCCUGAUCCAGCAACGCCGCGUGAGGGAUGACGGCCUUCGGGUUGUAAACCUCUUUCAGUACCGACGAAGCGCCGAUGAUGGUGGUGACGGUGGGUACAGAAGAAGCACCGGCCAACUACGUGCCAGCAGCCGCGGUAAUACGUAGGGUGCGAGCGUUGUCCGGAAUGAUUGGGCGUAAAGGGCUCGUAGGCGGUUUGUCGCGUCGGGAGUGAAAACCCAGGGCUUAACUCUGGGCUUGCUUUCGAUACGGGCAGACUAGAGGCAUGCAGGGGAGAACGGAAUUCCUGGUGUAGCGGUGAAAUGCGCAGAUAUCAGGAGGAACACCGGUGGCGAAGGCGGUUCUCUGGGCAUGUCCUGACGCUGAGGAGCGAAAGUGUGGGGAGCGAACAGG